rnacentral:ncRNA from 1 species
GAAAGGCUGUAUUUUCAUACAGCUGGGUACCACACGGUGCCCCAGUUAGA